UACGUAGGGGGGCGAGCGUUGUCCGGAUUUAUUGGGCGUAAAGAGCGUGUAGGCGGUUCGGUAAGUCUGUCGUGAAAUCCUGAGGCUCAACCUCGGACGUGCGAUGGAUACUGGUGGUCUUGAGGGAGGUAGGGGUAUGUGGAACUUCCGGUGGAGCGGUGAAAUGCGUUGAUAUCGGAAGGAACGCCGGUGGCGAAAGCGACGUACUGGACCUCUUCUGACGCUGAGGCGCGAAAGCUAGGGGAGCGAACGGGG
rnacentral:rRNA from 1 species